rnacentral:rRNA from 1 species
UACGUAGGGGUCUAGCGUUGUCCGGAAUUAUUGGGCGUAAAGGGCUCGUAGGCGGUUUGUCGCGUCGGGAGUGAAAUCCACUGGCUUAACUGGUGGCUUGCUUUCGAUACGGGCAGACUGGAGGUAUGCAGGGGAGAACGGAAUUCCUGGUGUAGCGGUGAAAUGCGUUGAUAUCUACAGGAACUCCGGUGGCGAAAGCGGCGCGCUGGACCUCUUCUGACGCUGAGGCGCGAAAGCUAGGGGAGCAAACGGG